rnacentral:sRNA from 1 species
GCAGAGCGUGGUGGCGCAUGCCUGUAAUCCCAGCGGCUUGGGAGGCUGAGGCAGGAGGAUCACAAGUUCAAAGCCAACCUCAGCAAUGGUGAGAUGCUAAGCAACUCAGUGAGACCCUGUCUUUA